AAGGCCCUUGCUUGCAAGGGUGCUCGAGUGGCGAACGGGUGAGUAACACGUAGGUGAUCUGCCUUUCACUUCGGGAUAAGCUUGGGAAACUGGGUCUAAUACCGGAUAUUCACGGCACCGUGGUUGGUGUGGUGGAAAGCUUUUGCGGUGGGAGAUGAGCUUGCGGCCUAUCAGCUUGUUGGUGGGGUAAUGGCCUACCAAGGCGGCGACGGGUAGCCGGCCUGAGAGGGUGUGCGGCCACAUUGGGACUGAGAUACGGCCCAGACUCCUACGGGAGGCAGCAGUGGGGAAUUUUGCACAAUGGGCGGAAGCCUGAUGCAGCGACGCCGUGUGGGGGAUGAAGGCCUUCGGGUUGUAAACUCCUUUCGUCAGGGAC
rnacentral:rRNA from 1 species